UACAGAGGUCUCAAGCGUUGUUCGGAUUCAUUGGGCGUAAAGGGUGUGUAGGUGGCGCGCUAAGUCGGGUGUGAAAUUUCGGAGCUUAACUCCGAAACUGCAUUCGAUACUGGCGUGCUUGAGGACUGGAGAGGAGACUGGAAUUCAUGGUGUAGCGGUGAAAUGCGCAGAUAUCAGGAGGAACACCGGUGGCGAAGGCGGGUCUCUAGGCAACAACUGACGCUGAGGAGCGAAAGCGUGGGGAGCGAACAGG
rnacentral:rRNA from 1 species